rnacentral:lncRNA from 1 species
GAGUAGACAACAAAAUGGAUUACAAAAGGUUUUACAUCUCGGCAUUCAUGUUUUUUUUUCUUUGUGCACGAAUUUUAUUUUUGGGGUGUCGUCAAAUCUUGACUCUUUUUCCACUCAAAUUUGUUUUAAUGCAUGAGUAUAUUUCUAAGGCAAGUGCUUAUUUUUUCAUUUCUUUUCUUCUUUUUUUUCGGUAGAAGCGAAUGUUUCUACAUACUUUCUUUUUCUCUUUUUUUGUUUUCUUCUUUCUUUUCCUUGCACUUGCCAUUUUUCAACAACAUUUUUAAUCUACGGAUGCAUACCCCAAACUUAUCUUUUUGCACAAGUUUUACAUUACACAGUCAUGCCGAGCUAGGGUAGGGAGUGUAUGGUUAAGGGUUAACAUGAUGGUUUAAACAAA